rnacentral:misc_RNA from 1 species
CCCGCAAGAACAGCCGCCUUCUCAAUCCCCAUCGUCCCUUAUAAAAGAAUUAUCAAGUCAAGACAAUACAUGCGGACAGUAAAGCUUCAUUUUUGUAUAAGAUCAUCUUGUCCACUUCAGUCACAUGGACCCAUAAACAAACAUUCAAGAAAUAAAUUAUUACGAAAAAUUGUCCCUCCCUUGAUAAUACCCACUUUGAAGUUAAACAUUCCAAGGGGUCCACUAAUAGUGAUCCCACCUACACCUCAUCAAUUUCAGCUUCGCUGCUUUCCAUAUUCACUUAGUACCCCACACCGAUGCUUGCAGCUCAUUAAACAAACAGUGACCUUACAGUGUCAGAUGGGGAUUGAACGCUCUGUGGGAUCCACGAGAUUGCCACUUGAUGACUAUCAAUAUCUUCCUUUCUCUGUCAAAAGCAAGCUCAUGUCCUGGGUGGCAUCCUCCAUUACGAGCAAGUUGAAAAAAGAAAUAAAAGAAAAGAUGACACACGGUGGUGGGGUACCGUCACAUUAAUUCAUUUUAUCGUUAUCUUUCAUAAGAUAACAAUGUUCAACUCCCUUUCAUCGUGUUUGUUUUGCUCGUUAAUUAAUUUCUCUCUGAUUUUCAUCUCCCCAGAAUUAGGGACAGCGAAGAGAAUCUUUCUUUUGAAGGCUAAGUAAGUGGAGAGCCUUAUCAUGAUGGCUCUUUCCUCUCCUUGCAGCAGGAGCGCCACUUUGGCCUUUCUCAUUGAUGAGCAUGAGCAUUGAGCUACAAAAGGUAUGGUCCUCUUGCAUUACGGUGUUUCUGUCAUGUAAAUGUUAUUUGGUCCUCUUGGUACGUCUUUACUCUUUUCCAUGUUUCGCUAAAUUCCGGAAGACAUGGCCUCAAUUGAAUUUCAUAGCCUUCACUUCUGGAAUUAUCUACUCGUAAUUAAAGAAAACCACGGGUGCAGUGCAUUUUAGUUUGGAAUGUGUGCCAUGCCACCUUCAUAGCGCAGAGAUUGAUAGUAUCUAGUCAAAAUGAAAGCCGCUCAUCACCGGUUACAUUAAUGGCCCAUAAAUCCUUAAUGCAUUUUCCAGAAAGAAGAAUCC